AAGCCAUAUACAGCAAACCAGUCACUAAUGAAGCAGUGUGCAUGGGAAAGAUCAAAGUGGUGCUGCAUCUCCUCUCUAAGAAGAAAUUUAGCAUAAAUGACACGGAUAAAGGAAAACGAACUGCACUGCACUUCGCAUGUUUUUAUGGUCAUCUGCAUCUGGUUCAGUUCUUAUUAUAUAAUGACUGCAUGAUAAAUGCCCUUGAUGAUCAAAAGGCCACACCACUAAUGAAGGCUGUACAAAGCUGGGAGACAAAGAUUGCUUCUGUCCUCCUUGAUAAUGGAGCAAAUCCCAAUUGUAAAGAUUCCAAUGGAGAAACAGCACUACAUCAGGCAGUAUAUGUUGACAGUCCAGAUAUUGCUGCCAGUCUCCUUGAAUAUGGUGCAGACAUUGAAGAAACUACAAAGGAUGGGUUUACACCUCUCCUGCUGGCACUUCGAGAAAGGAAACUCCUCACAGCAGAAUAUUUAAUAAAACAUGGUGCAAAUAUUUAUGCACGGGAUGAUUAUCAAAGAACAACACUCAUGUAUGCAGUGCAAUGGGAUUCUGAAGUCAUUGUUGAGCAGUUACUGGAGAAAGGAAUUGAUCACUCCUUAAAGGACUCAUUUGGAUGGAGUGCACUUCAGUAUGCAGUGGCAGGAAAACGCAAAGUAAAGGAUAUAAUUUUGGACUAUGAGGACUCACUCCUCUUAAGUCAACACAGUAUCUUCACAGGAAAUCUACAUGCAGACUUCUACUCAUCAGGAUAUGGUUUCAGAUCCGAGUCACUGAUUUCUAUGUGUUCAAGAGAGGAGGAUGAAUAUUAUUCUGAAAUCCAGCAAGACAUUCCUGAAAAUAUUAUGGAAAACGGUGUGGAUGAUUUACCAGAAGCUUCCAAAAUAUAUGAUGCUGUAGAAGAACAAAAAGAAGAACUAGGAUUAGAAACAGUACUGGAUUUAAAACUGGAAAAUAAAGACAUAUGCCAUAAGAAUGAAGAAUACCAAAACUUGAACACUUCCAGGAAAGCUGUCCAUUCAUACAACACAGGAAAUGGUACAGACAAUAAUGAAACAAGUCAAGUGUGGGCUGACAAAUGUCCACACCCAGAGACUAGGGAUUAUUCUCAUCCAAUCUACAAGCCUAAGUCUGAAUCACAACAAUCUCAACCAGAUAUAGAUUUGUCAGAAGAACUGGAAGAAGAAAUAUCAGAAUCUAAACUGGAAAGUGAGAGAAGUUUUCAUAAGGGUGCAGAAAUUCAAGGAUUUAGUGUGUCUAACUCUAAUGGACUGCAUGAAAAUUCCACAGAAGUUCCACAUUCAUCUAAUAUGUACAAUAAUGCAGAAAAAAAAGUAAUAAAGCUUCUGGAGAAAAAAUCUACCAUGGAAGAUAAAAUACAGACCUCAGAAGAAGAGGAACAAAAUACUGUUAGAACAAGCAAAAGGCCCCUUAUUCAUACUAUAAGAACACGUUUUUGUGCAUGCUUCACCAUAAAACGGAAUUAUUCCCCCAUCCACAAGAAAUAGAAGAGAAAACAUAGAAGUAUGUAAGAGUUACAUUUUGUCUUAAAAGUCUUUAGAAAUAAUGUUUUUAUAAAACAUAUACUUUGUAUUCUAGCUGAGGAAUGUUAUUAUCUAAAUGUAGAAUGAGGGAUAAAAGAGUUAACUAUCAAUGUAAUACUUAUCUCAUGAAUAAACAGGCUAAUUAAAGAUGGUAAGACCAAAGUGUGAAUGCAUUGAUCCUACUUAGAAGUGGAGCAAAAUAAUCCUGGGAGAUUGUGGGAGGUAGGGACUCGAGAGGAAGAGAGGAGGGGGUUAAGGGCAAAGGAUCAGGUAUGGGAAGAGGCAGGAGAGAAGUAUAUAGGGACAAUAAAUUGAACAGAAAUGUGUAGCAUUGGGCAUAUAGGGAACUAUGGAUAGCUACUUGAAAGUUCCACAUGCCAGUGAAGGACCCAACAGGGAUGACAUUAGUCAAAAUACCCAACAAAGGGGAGAAAGAACCUGUAGAGACCCUCACUAGUAGAUAGUCACAGCCCCCAGUGGAGGGAUAGGGUUAUCCAUACAUCUUAAAAAUUUUAACCCAGAAUCUUUUCUAUCUAAAUGUAAUGCACAGAGAAAAAAUGGAGGAGAGACUGAAGGAAAGGCUGUCUAGAGACCACCCGACCUGGGGAUCCAUCCCACUUGCAGACACAAAACUCCAACAUUAUUGCUGAUGCCAAGAAAUGCUUGCUGAAAAGAGCCUGGUAUAGCUGUCCCCAGAGAGGCUCUGCUAGCACCUGACUGAUACAGAUGCAAAUACUCACAGCCCACUAUCAGAAUUAGCUCAGCAACUACAGUGAAAGAGUUAGGGGAAGGGCAGGAGCUGAAGAGAAUUGCAACCUCAUAGGAAGAAGAACAAUAAUAACUAACCUGACCACUCAGAGCUCCCAGAGACUAAACCACUAACCAAAGAGUACACGAGGAAAAAUUCCAUGGUUCCAGCUCCAUAUGUAGCAGAGAAUUGCCUUAUCUGGCUGGCAUCAAUGGGAAGGGAGGUCCUUGGUCCUGUGGAGCCUUGAUUCUCCAGUAGAAGGGGAUUGUGCAAUGGUGAGGCAGCAAUGGGGGAGUGAGUAGGUAUUGCACUCUUAGAGUUAAAGAGGAAGGGGAUAGGAUGGGGGUUUUGUGGAGGGUAAACUGGCAAGGAGGAUAACAUUUAAAAUUUAAAUAAAGAAAAUAACCAAUUAAAAUUUAAAAAGGUGUACUAUAUAUAGAUAAUGUGCCAUAUAGAUAGAUGACUUACAGAUAUGCAGAUGAUAUACAUGCCAUAUGUAUGAGUAGAUAUUUAAAUACAUAUGAAGAUUAUAUUAUUUAUAAAAGGUAUAUAGAUAAACAGAUAUGUAGAUGUAGAUGUCGUUUUAUGUGUUUUUAUGUUACAUUUUAACAGUUCAGAAAUGUUAGGAAAUAAGGCAUAAGAAAGAAUGUUUUAUAUUAAAGAACAUUAAUAUUUUCAAACACAGGAAAUAAAUGCAGGGAAAUGUUGCAGUGUAUGUG
rnacentral:lncRNA from 1 species